AUGGAGGCCGCGCACGCAAACGGAAACUGGGCCGCCCUGCCCAGCGAUCUCCUGAGCUGCGUAGGCGCGCUCCUCGCCGUGCCUGGUCGCAUAUGCUUCCGCGCCGUGUGCCGCGCAUGGAGGGAAGCCAUCCCGGAAGAUCAAGCCCGCGCAAUGCCGGCGCCGUGGGUGAUCAUACCCCGCGUCGACGGCUGCACCGACUCCUUCAUCAUCCUCUCCGCGCCCACCAUGAACUCCUUCCGGUGGACGCCCCCGGGCGGCGCGCGCGCCCGCUGCGUCGGCUCCAACGGCAGCUGGCUCGCCAUCGUCACCGUCGUGGACGUCCGGAACCUCGCCAUCUCGCUGGUCAACCCGCUCACGGACGCGCGCGUUGAGCUGCCGCUCGUAACCGGCUGGCGAUGGGCGUUGGAUACCGAGCAUGAUCUCGAGUUUGAGCUGGACGUCGUCGUCCGGAAGGUGGCCUUCUCCCCGCUCGACGUGUUGGAGCCCCCCUUCAACGGCAUGGUCAUGUGCCGCAGUUACCACCUGGCUUUCUCCGGCGACGGCACGCUGCACGUGGUGUGGAGCCGGAGCGAGGGCGACGGAUACCCGCCAAGUUUCUACCUCCGGGACAUGGCGUGCGCUUCCAUCGCAUCUGGCGAGGAGAAGUGGACGCCGGCGAGGAGCAUCGUCGGCCGCGCGUUCCUCAUCGGGGAUCGCAACCAGUCCAUGUUGGUCCCCGUGGACAGCAACGGCUGGCUCAGACCCAACUCCAUCUACUUCACCAACAUCCCGCUCUGCGACCGUUUCGCCAUUGGAUGCCUUGGGCGUCGAGGCUUGUGGGCCAUGGACGUGGUCACCGGCCGGAUCACUUGGCCGCGGGCACCGACCGGCAUGGUCGGGAGGCCGUUGGGAUCGGAAUUGGACGUGGACUGGGCAAAAUCCCUUUGGUUCAUGCCCUGCUUGACACAACCCAGAUAA
rnacentral:rRNA from 1 species